rnacentral:tRNA from 1 species
GGGAAUGUAGCUGAGUUAGGUUUAGCGCCAGGUUGAAGCCCUGGAGACGCGGGUUCGAUCCCUGCCGUUCCCA